CGGGUGAGUAACGCGUGAGCAACCUGCCUUUCAGAGAGGGAUAACGUUUGGAAACGAACGCUAAUACCGCAUGACAUUAUCUUAUCGCAUGGUAGGAUAAUCAAAGGAGCAAUCCGCUGAAAGAUGGGCUCGCGUCCGAUUAGGUAGUUGGUGGGGUAACGGCCCACCAAGCCGACGAUCGGUAGCCGGACUGAGAGGUUGGACGGCCACAUUGGGACUGAGACACGGCCCAGACUCCUACGGAAGGCAGCAG
rnacentral:rRNA from 1 species